rnacentral:lncRNA from 1 species
GCCUUGAGGACGAGUGCUGUGGGGCACAGCUUGAAAUCCCUCCCCCCGUAACUCUGUCUAUCUCAGAAGACUUCCUCCAGGCCACCUGCAACAGCCCAUCGCCGAAGCACCAUUCAAGUUCGACAUGGAAUUGGAUGACUUGCCUAAGGAAAAGCUCAAAGAACUAAUUUUUGAAGAGACUGCUAGAUUCCAGCCAGGAUACAGAUCUUAAAUUUGUCAGGACAAGGGCUCAGAGGACUGGACGUGCUCAGACAUCGGUGUUCUUCUUCCCAGUUCUUGACCCCUGGUCCUGUCUCCAGCCCGUCUUGGCUUAUCCACUUUGACUCCUUUGAGCCGUUUGGAGGGGCGGUUUCUGGUAGUUGUGGCUUUUAUGCUUUCAAAGAAUUUCUUCAGUCCAGAGAAUUCCUCCUGGCAGCCCUGUGUGUGUCACCCAUUGGUGACCUGCGGCAGUAUGUACUUCAGUGCACCUACUGCUUA